rnacentral:lncRNA from 1 species
GAGUUUGAAGAAGUGGAUAGCAUCCAAGAGAAGAGGAUUACCUGGUAUUAGAGUGAAAGAAGGAAAGGAGAGGUGAGGCCGAAGUCAACAAGACAAGGCCGAUCAUCUCCAAGUCAAAGAAGAGGAAGAAGAGGAGUGUCAAGGCCAAUGACAUCAAGACAAGGCCGAAGACAACUCCAAGAUCUCUCAAAGAAGAUAAAAAGAAGACAAGACAAGGCUGAAGAAGCUAUUGAUCAAGUCUAGCCUCGGCCUAAAGAAGAAGAAGAACUGUACGGCCAAGUCAACUCCAAGAGGUGUCCGUACAAGUCUAAGGUUGUGUAAGGCCGAGGCCCAUUAGAUAAGAAGAAGAAGAGGACGCCAAGAAAGCCUAAAGAAUGCAAGGAAUAAGGCCCAUAAGUGACAAGAAGAGGAGGGAAACGAAUUCAAAUUCAAGUCUGCUCUCACAUGUGACUAAAGUCACAUGUGACCGUUUAUGAGCUGUCACUUUCAGCUCUUAACAAGACAAAAACGCUCUCUUUAUGUCACUCUCAGUCUUGGCUCAUGUGUUAGGGCUUCCUCUCUUCCUUUCUCUCUAUUAAAAAGAGAUGUAACCGAGCUUGUAAAUGUUACACAGAAUCAAUGAAGUGAUUUCUCUCUUUUAUCUUGUUCUUCAUUCUAUUUUGCAAUGUAGAGUCCUUAGAGAAAAUCGUUUGUAGUGACUGCCCUUAAGGCAGCCUUAUCACUUCAUAAACACUCACUUAACUCUUCUUUAUUUGCUUCUCUCAUCUAGAUUACUGAGUCUUGCAUCUCAAGAACACAAACUCUCUAUGUGUUGUGUUCAUUGCUUAGAUUAGUCUCAAACUAGAUGCUUUCCCUUUAUAGAAUCGUUUUCUUCCUCAUAGAUUCGGUUCUACUUAUGUUUAUUGUGUGGAUUCCAUCACAAGUUGAUGGUCUCUUCUCUCUCUUGAGAUCGAGUUUAUUUUGUGUGGGUUAAGUGGUUUCAUUCACCAAGUGAAUGCUUCCACCAUUUGUUGAGCUUUGUCUCAUAAAUCCCAAC